rnacentral:ncRNA from 1 species
UAAGUCUCGCAACGAGCGCAACCCUCGUGUUUAGUUGCCACUAUGAGUUUGGAACCCUGAACAGACCGCCGGUGUUAAGCCGGAGGAAGGAGAGGAUGAGGCCAAGUCAUCAUGCCCCUUAUGCCCUGGGCAACACACGUGCUACAAUGGGCGGGACAAAGGGUCGCGAUCUCGCGAGGGUGAGCUAACUCCAAAAACCCGUCCUCAGUUCGGAUUGCAGGCUGCAACUCGCCUGCAUGAAGCAGGAAUCGCUAG